CCAAAAGCUCACACUUUCAGAACUUUCUGGAGUCACAUUAUAUGUUCAAGUCAACAGACAUACUGGACACUAAUGACCUAAAAGGCUUCACAGUGGUUGAAAUGUUUACACCACAGUUGCGGGAGCCAAUGAGAAUGACCACUUUGCAAAUACUUGGGAUGAGAACCAAAUGUGCAGAAAGAGGUGAAGUUUUCUUAGGAAAAAUAACCAGAGCCCAGAGAAGACUCAACUCACAUCAUCAUAAUAUUUCUCAUGACAAGGAUCCCAUUCAAAUAUCAAAUUAUUCUACUGUAGGCCUAUGAUUUGUCACCAAAAUUAUGUAUUUCUAAUCAUUCACUUGCAAGAAUCCUUUGAAUUUAGAGGAUCAAUUUUGUGAGUAGAACAUAAGUGGCAACCACAUCCCUUUUGGUGUUUAUGACAGAUAAUCUAAUAAAGCAUAGUGCAAAAUAGAAUGAGCGGCUUAGUAAAAAUUUAAAGCAAAUGAGAUGGUUUCAUUAAAUAACUAUUUUUAAGUAUACAUCAGUGGCAGAGUUUUAACAAAUAGUCAUGGUUUUCUUU
rnacentral:lncRNA from 1 species